rnacentral:siRNA from 1 species
GAAAGAGUGAUGUUCAAGUUCU